CAUCAAGUACCAGAAUGGGGACAAAAAUGUGAUCUCAGUGAUUUUGACCAUGACAUGAUAGAUGGUGCCAGAGGGGCUGGUUUGAGUUUUUCCGUCACUGCUGAUCUCCUGGGAUUUUCACACACUGCAGACUGACAGAGUGGACUCAGAAUGGUACGAAAAACAAAACACAUGCAGUGAGCGACAGUUCUGCAGAUGGAAACGCCUUGUUGAUGAGAGAGAGGCCUUCCCAGUCGCUGGACCUGAAUCCAUUUGGACAACUUGGAAGUAGAAUGGGAGAUUCCCAGCAUGGAUGUACAGCUUACACAUAAACAGAAGUUGAGUGAUGUAAUCAUGUCAGCAAGGACCUGAAUCUUAAAGGCAUGUUUCCAGCAUCUUGUGGAAUACAUGCCAUGAAGAAUUGAGGCUGUUUUGAGAGCAAAGGGAGGCUCUAACUAGAAUUAAUAUGGUAUUCUUAUUAAAGUACUCAGUGAGUGUAUUAA